rnacentral:rRNA from 1 species
GACGAACGCUGGCGGCGUGCUUAACACAUGCAAGUCGAACGAUGACGACCGAGCUUGCUCGGUCUGAUUAGUGGCGAACGGGUGAGUAACACGUGAGCAACCUGCCCUUCACUCUGGGAUAACCUCGGGAAAUCGGGGCUAAUACCGGAUAUGAGCUCCUGUCGCAUGGCGGGUGUUGGAAAGUUUUUCGGUGAAGGAUGGGCUCGCGGCCUAUCAGUUUGUUGGUGAGGUAGUGGCUCACCAAGGCGAUGACGGGUAGCCGGCCUGAGAGGGCGACCGGCCACACUGGGACUGAGACACGGCCCAGACUCCUACGGGAGGCAGCAGUGGGGAAUAUUGCACAAUGGGCGAAAGCCUGAUGCAGCGACGCCGCGUGAGGGAUGACGGCCUUCGGGUUGUAAACCUCUUUCAGCAGGGAAGAAGCGAAAGUGACGGUACCUGAAGAAGAAGCGCCGGCUAACUACGUG